rnacentral:rRNA from 1 species
GAUAAACGCUGGCGGCGUGCAUAACACAUGCAAGUCGAACGAAGUGGCGAACGGGUGCGUAACACGUGAGUAACCUGCCUUACACAAGGGGAUAGCCUUUGGAAACGAAGAAUAAUACCCUAUAGUGUAAGAUGGACUUGCGUCUGAUUAGCUAGUUGGUGAGAUAAAAGCCCACCAAGGCGACGAUCAGUAGCCGGCUUGAGAGCGUGUACGGCCCCAUUGGGACUGCGUCCCGGCCCAAACUCUACCGGAGGCAGCAGUGGGGGAUUUUUCCCAAAGGGGGAAACCCUGAUGCAGCGACGCCGCGUGAUUUAGAAGGCCUUUGUGUUGUAAAAAUCUUUUUUAUGGGAUGCAGUACCAUAAGAAUAAGGUCCGGCUAAAUACGUGCCAGCAGCCGCGGUAAUUA